AGCUUGCUUUUCUUGAUUAGUGGCGCACGGGUGAGUAAUGCAUAGAUAAUGUGCCCCUUAGUUCGGGAUAGCCACUGGAAACGGUGAUUAAUACCGGAUACUCCUUCUUGUUAUAAGACAAGUCGGGAAAGUUUUUCGCUAAGGGAUCAGUCUAUGUUCCAUCAGCUUGUUGGUGAGGUAAUGGCUCACCAAGGCUAUGACGGAUAUCUGGUUUGAGAGGAUGAUCAGACACACUGGAACUGAGACACGGUCCAGACUCCUACGGGAGGCAGCAGUGAGGAAUAUUGCACAAUGGAGGAAACUCUGAUGCAGCAACGCCGCGUGGAGGAUGACGCAUUUCGGUGUGUAAACUCCUUUUAUUAGGGAAGAUAAUGACGGUACCUAAUGAAUAAGCACCGGCUAACUCCGUGCCAGCAGCCGCGGUAAUACGGAGGGUGCAAGCGUUACUCGGAAUCACUGGGCGUAAAGGGUGCGUAGGCUGGCUUUUAAGUCAGAUGUGAAAUCCAAUGGCUCAACCAUUGAACUGCAUUUGAAACUGAAAGCCUAGAGUUCAGAAGGGGCAGAUGGAAUUAGUGGCGUAGGGGUAAAAUCCGUAGAUAUCACUAGGAAUAUCAAAAGCGAAGGCGAUCUGCUGGGAUGAUACUG
rnacentral:rRNA from 1 species